GGGCAGGUUCCAGAGCGGUCAAAUGGGCUUGACUGUAAAUCAAGUGGCUCCGCCUUCGCAGGUUCGAAUCCUGCCCUGCCCA
rnacentral:tRNA from 1 species